UCAUCAUGCCCCUUAUGACUUGGGCUACACACGUGCUACAAUGGUUGGUACAACGAGUUGCGAGUCGGUGACGGCGAGCUAAUCUCUUAAAGCCAAUCUCAGUUCGGAUUGUAGGCUGCAACUCGCCUACAUGAAGUCGGAAUCGCUAGUAAUCGCGGAUCAGCACGCCGCGGUGAAUACGUUCCCGGGCCUU
rnacentral:rRNA from 1 species